rnacentral:rRNA from 1 species
UGUCUCAAAGAUUAAGCCAUGCAUGUCUAAGCAUAAGCCGAAUAUGGUAAAGCCGCGAAUGGCUCAUUACAACAGCCAUAGUUUAUUGGAUCUUAGAGUCCUACUUGGAUACCUGUGGAAAAUCUAGAGCUAAUACACGCAAUCAAGCCCUAACCUUUUGGAAAGGGCGCAUUUAUUAGAACAAAACCAAUUGGCUUCGGCCAUGAAUUGGUGAAUCUGAAUAACUACGCUGAUCGCACGGUCUCGUACCGGCGACGUAUCCUUCAAGUGUCUGCCUUAUCAACUUUCGAUGGUAGUCUAUAAGCCUACCAUGGUUGUAACGGGUAACGGAGAAUAAGGGUUCGACUCCGGAGAGGGAGCCUGAGAAACGGCUACCACUUCCAAGGAAGGCAGCAGGCGCGCAAAUUACCCACUCUCAGAACGAGGAGGUAGUGACGAAAAAUAACGAGACAGUUCUCUAUGAGGUCUGUCAUCGGAAUGGGUACAAUCUAAACCCUUUAACGAGGAUCUAUUGGAGGGCAAGUCUGGUGCCAGCAGCCGCGGUAAUUCCAGCUCCAAUAGCGUAUAUUAAAGUUGUUGCGGUUAAAAAGCUCGUAGUUGGAUCUGCGGUCAUUGACACCGGUCUCCUUCACGGAGUACUGGUUGUCAUGACCUACCUUGUUGGUUGUCCCUUGGUGCUCUUUACUGAGUGCCCUGGGUGGCUAGCACGUUUACUUUGAAAAAAUUAGAGUGCUUAACGCAGGCUUUUGCCUGAAUAGUGGUGCAUGGAAUAAUGGAAUAGGACCUCGGUUCUAUUUUGUUGGUUUUCGGAGCGCGAGGUAAUGAUUAAGAGGGACAGACGGGGGCAUUCGUACUGCUGCGUUAGAGGUGAAAUUCUUGGAUCGCAGCAUGACGAACAACUGCGAAAGCAUUUGCCAAGAAUGUUUUCAUUAAUCAAGAACGAUAGUUAGAGGUUCGAAGGCGAUCAGAUACCGCCCUAGUUCUAACCGUAAACGAUGCCAACUAGCAAUCCGCUGGCGUUAAUUCUGACUCAGCGGGCGGCUGCCCGGAAACGAUAAGUUUUUCGGUUCCGGGGGAAGUAUGGUUGCAAAUCCGAAACUUAAAGGAAUUGACGGAAGGGCACCACCAGGAGUGGAGCCUGCGGCUUAAUUUGACUCAACACGGGAAAACUCACCCGGCCCGGACACUGUAAGGAUUGACAGAUUGAAAGCUCUUUCACGAUUCAGUGGGUGGUGGUGCAUGGCCGUUCUUAGUUGGUGGAGCGAUUUGUCUGGUUAAUUCCGAUAACGAACGAGACUCUAGCCUACUAAAUAGUGCGAGGAUCUUUACGUCCUUGUCACUUCUUAGAGGGACAGACGGCGCCUAGCCGUACGAAAUUGAGCAAUAACAGGUCUGUGAUGCCC